rnacentral:rRNA from 1 species
UGAGUACGAGCUGCUACGGCAGCGAAGUGGGUGAUGUCAAGCUUCCAAGAGAAGCCCUAUACCCGUUAAGGCAUGACGGCCUGUACCCGAAACCGACACAGGUGGGGUGGUAGAGAAUACCGAGGGGCGCGAGAUAACUCUCUCUAAGGAACUCGGCAAAAUGGCCCCGUAACUUCGGGAGAAGGGGUGCCACCGCAAGGUGGUCGCAGUGAAGAGGCCCAGGCGACUGUUUACCAAAAACACAGGUCUCCGCUAAGUCGCAAGACGAUGUAUGGGGGCUGACGCCUGCCCAGUGCCGGAAGGUUAAGGAAGCUGGUCAGCGCAAGCGAAGCUAGCGACUGAAGCCCCGGUGAACGGCGGCCGUAACUAUAACGGUCCUAAGGUAGCGAAAUUCCUUGUCGGGUAAGUUCCGACCCGCACGAAAGGCGUAACGAUCUGGACGCUGUCUCGGAGAGAGGCUCGGCGAAAUAGAAUUGUCUGUGAAGAUGCAGACUACGUGCACCCGGACAGAAAGACCCUAUGAAGCUUUACUGUAGCUUGGUAUUGUGCCCGGGCUCUGAAUGCGCAGGAUAGGUGGGAGGCUUUGAUCCAUUGCUUGUGGAUGAUGGUGAGCCACUGGUGAGAUACCACUCUUUCAGAGCUAGGGUUCUAACGGUCACCCGUUAUCCGGGGACCGGACAGUAUCAGGUGGGCAGUUUGACUGGGGCGGUCGCCUCCUAAAAGGUAACGGAGGCGCGCAAAGGUUCCCUCGGGCUGGUUGGAAAUCAGCCGACGAGUGUAAAGGCAGAAGGGAGCUUGACUGUGAGACCUACAAGUCGAACAGGGACGAAAGUCGGCCUUAGUGAUCCGACGGUUCUAAGUGGAAGGGCCGUCGCUCAACGGAUAAAAGUUACUCUAGGAUAACAGGCUGAUCUCCCCCAAGAGUUCACAUCGACGGGGAGGUUUGGUACCUCGAUGUCGGCUCAUCGCAACCUGGGGCUGAAGUCGGUCCCAAGGGUUGGGCUGUUCGCCCAUUAAAGCGGUACGCGAGCUGGGUUCAGAACGUCGUGAGACAGUUCGGUCCAUAUCCGGUGCACGCGCAGGAACAUUGAGAGGAUUUCUCCCUAGUACGAGAGGACCCGGAGGAACGCACCUCUGGUGUACCAGUUAUCGUGCCAACAGUAAACGCUGGGUAGCCAUGUGCGGAGCGGAUAACCGCUGAAAGCAUCUAAGUGGGAAGCCCACCUCAAGAUGAGUGUUCCCAUGGCAUAAGCCAGUAAGGUCACGGGAAGGACACCCGUUGAUAGGCUCUACGUGGAAGCGUGGCAACACGUGAAGCGGAGGAGUACUAAUAGACCGAGGGCUUGAC